ensembl:snRNA U4 U4 spliceosomal RNA
AGCUUUGCACUGUGGCAGUAUCGUAGCCAAUGAGGUUUAUCUGAAGCGCGAUUAUUGCUAAAACUUAUGUGAAAAAAAAGUGGGACGGGAUGCCUAGGUGGCUCAGUCGAUUAAGCAUCCAACUCUUGAUUUUGGCUCACGUCA